rnacentral:rRNA from 1 species
GUACACGAGCGGCGAACGGGUGAGUAACACGUGGGUGAUCUGCCCUGUACUUCGGGAUAAUCCUGGGAAACUGGGUCUAAUACCGGAUAUGACCUUACAUCGCAUGGUGUUUGGUGGAAAGAUUUAUCGGUACAGGAUGGGCCCGCGGCCUAUCAGCUUGUUGGUGGGGUAAUGGCCUACCAAGGCGACGACGGGUAGCCGGCCUGAGAGGGCGACCGGCCACACUGGGACUGAGACACGGCCCAGACUCCUACGGGAGGCAGCAGUGGGGAAUAUUGCACAAUGGGCGAAAGCCUGAUGCAGCGACGCCGCGUGAGGGAUGACGGCCUUCGGGUUGUAAACCUCUAUCGACAGGGACGAAGCGCAAGUGACGGUACCUGUAGAAGAAGCACCGGCCAACUACGUGCCAGCAGCCGCGGUAAUACGUAGGGUGCGAGCGUUGUCCGGAAUUACUGGGCGUAAAGAGCUUGUAGGCGGUUUGUCGCGUCGUCCGUGAAAACUUGGGGCUCAACCCCAAGCUUGCGGGCGAUACGGGCAGACUUGAGUACUGCAGGGGAGACUGGAAUUCCUGGUGUAGCGGUGAAAUGCGCAGAUAUCAGGAGGAACACCGGUGGCGAAGGCGGGUCUCUGGGCAGUAACUGACGCUGAGAAGCGAAAGCGUGGGUAGCGAACAGGAUUAGAUACCCUGGUAGUCCACGCCGUAAACGGUGGGCGCUAGGUGUGGGUUUCCUUCCACGGGAUCCGUGCCGUAGCUAACGCAUUAAGCGCGCGGCCUGGGGAGUACGGCCGCAAGGCUAAAACUCAAAGGAAUUGACGGGGGCCCGCACUAGCGGCGGAGCAUGUGGAUUAAUUCGAUGCAACGCCAAGAACCUUACCUGGGUUUGACAUA